AUUGAACGCUGGCGGCAUGCCUUACACAUGCAAGUCGAACGGCAGCACGGGAGCUUGCUCCUGGUGGCGAGUGGCGAACGGGUGAGUAAUGCAUCGGAACGUGCCCUGAAGUGGGGGAUAACGUAGCGAAAGUUACGCUAAUACCGCAUAUUCUGUGAGCAGGAAAGCAGGGGAUCUUCGGACCUUGCGCUUUUGGAGCGGCCGAUGUCAGAUUAGCUAGUUGGUAGGGUAAUGGCUUACCAAGGCUUUGAUCGGUAGCUGGUCUGAGAGGACGAUCAGCCACACUGGCACUGACACACGGGCCAGACUCCUACGGGAGGCAGCAGUGAGGAAUAUUGGGCAAUGGGCGAAAGCCUGACCCAGCAACGCCGCGUGAGGGAUGAAGGCCUUCGGGUUGUAAACCUCUUUCUGGGAGAAGAGACAAGGACGGUAUCCCAGGAAUAAAGUCUCGGCUAACUACGUGCCAGCAGCCGCGGUAAU
rnacentral:rRNA from 1 species